rnacentral:rRNA from 1 species
UACGUAGGUGGCAAGCGUUGUUCGGAAUAACUGGGCGUAAAGGAUGCGUAGGCGGUUAAACAAGUUAUAUGUUAAAUAUAUAGGCUUAACCUGUAGAAAGCAUAUAAAACUGUUUAACUAGAGUGCAGGAGAGGUAAGUGGAAUUCCUAGUGUAGCGGUGAAAUGCAUAGAGAUUAGGAAGAACACCAGUGGCGAAGGCGACUUACUGGACUGUAACUGACGCUGAGGCAUGAGAGCAUGGGGAGCAAACAGG